GGGGCCGUGGUCUAGUCGGCAUGACGUCGCCUUGACAUGGCGAAGGUCCCCGGUUCAAAUCCGGGCGGCCCCA
rnacentral:tRNA from 1 species